rnacentral:rRNA from 1 species
GUGCCAGCAGCCGCGGUAAGACAGAGGGUGCAAACGUUGUUCGGAAUGACUGGGCGUAAAGCGCGUGUAGGCGGCUCGGCAAGUCGGGUGUGAAAGCCCUGGGCUCAACCCAGGAAGUGCACUCGAAACUGCCGAGCUGGAGUCCCGGAGAGGAAGGCGGAAUUCUCGGUGUAGAGGUGAAAUUCGUAGAUAUCGAGAGGAACACCGGUGGCGAAGGCGGCCUUCUGGACGGCGACUGACGCUGAGACGCGAAAGCGUGGGGAGCAAACAGGAUUAGAUACCCUGGUAGUCC